CCUACGGGAGGCAGCAGUGAGGAAUAUUGGUCAAUGGACGGAAGUCUGAACCAGCCAUGCCGCGUGCAGGAAGACGGCUCUAUGAGUUGUAAACUGCUUUUGUACAAGGGUAAACCUGAAUACGUGUAUUCUGCUGACAGUACUGUACGAAUACGGAUCGGCUAACUCCGUGCCAGCAGCCGCGGUAAUACGGAGGAUCCAAGCGUUAUCCGGAUUUAUUGGGUUUAAAGGGUGCGUAGGCGGAUUGAUAAGUUAGAGGUGAAAUGUCCGGGCUUAACUCGGGAACUGCCUCUAAUACUGUUGAUCUAGAGAGUAGAUGCGGUAGGCGGAAUGUAUGGUGUAGCGGUGAAAUGCUUAGAGAUCAUACAGAACACCGAUUGCGAAGGCAGCUUACCAAUCUAUAUCUGACGUUGAGGCACGAAAGCGUGGGGAGCAAACAGGAUUAGAUACCCCAGUAGUC
rnacentral:rRNA from 1 species